GCGUGCGUUUGGGGGGCGUUUGGUGAAAGCCAAGGCUUAGGGUUCAAGCUAGCUCCUCAGACUCUGC
rnacentral:sRNA from 12 species